CCGCCCUUAGCUCAGCUGGUAGAGCAACGGACUUUUAAUCCGCGGGUCGUAGGUUCGAAUCCUACAGGGCGGA
rnacentral:tRNA from 1 species